rnacentral:tRNA from 11 species
CCGACCUUAGCUCAGUUGGUAGAGCGGAGGACUGUAGUAUGAAUUCUGAAAUCCUUAGGUCGCUGGUUCGAAUCCGGCAGGUCGGA